GCGGACUAGGCGGGCGCUAGGCUGUCUAGGCGGGGGCUAGGCGGGCUCUAGGCGGACUAGGCUGGCGCUAGGCGGCCUGGGCGGGCGCUAGGCGGCCUGGGCGGGCGCUAGGCGGCCUGGGCGGGCGCUAGGCGGCCUGGGCGGCGCUAGGCGGCCUGGGCGGGGGCUAGGCGGCGGCCAACUCCCUGGCGGCUACUCCUUACGAUUAGGAUGAAAUCGUGGCGGUGUCCUCCCACCUAGCACCUUGAAUGUAUCGGUAAGAAACGCUGAUCAAAGCUAUGCACCUUGAAUGUAUCGGU
rnacentral:lncRNA from 1 species